UACGGAGGGGGCGAGCGUUAUUCGGAAUCAUUGGGCGUAAAGGGCGCGUAGGCGGCCUGAUAAGUCAAAGGUGAAAUCCCUCGGCUCAACUGAGGAACUGCCUUUGAAACUGCCAGGCUUGAGGCCGGGAGGGGGUGGCGGAAUUCCCAGUGUAGCGGUGAAAUGCGUAGAUAUUGGGAGGAAUACCGAUGGCGAAAGCAACCGUCUGGGCCUGAACUGACACUGAGACACGAAAGCGUGGGGAGCAAACAGG
rnacentral:rRNA from 1 species